GACGAACGCUGGCGGCGUGCUUAACACAUGCAAGUCGAACGGUGAAGGUGGAGCUUGCUCCGCCGGAUCAGUGGCGAACGGGUGAGUAACACGUGGGCAACCUGCCCCUCACUUCGGGAUAACUCCGGGAAACCGGGGCUAAUACCGGAUACGACCUCCUUGGGCAUCCUGGGAGGUGGAAAGUUUUUCGGUGAGGGAUGGGCCCGCGGCCUAUCAGCUUGUUGGUGAGGUAGUGGCUCACCAAGGCGACGACGGGUAGCCGGCCUGAGAGGGCGACCGGCCACACUGGGACUGAGACACGGCCCAGACUCCUACGGGAGGCAGCAGUGGGGAAUAUUGCGCAAUGGGCGAAAGCCUGACGCAGCAACGCCGCGUGCGGGAUGAAGGCCUUCGGGUUGUAAACCGCUUUCAGCAGGGAAGAAGCCGCAAGGUGACGGUACCUGCAGAAGAAGCACCGGCUAACUACGUGCCAGCCACCGCAGUAA
rnacentral:rRNA from 1 species